rnacentral:rRNA from 1 species
GACGAACGCUGGCGGCGUGCCUAAUACAUGCAAGUGGGACGCAAGGGAACACACUGUGCUUGCACACCGUGUUUUCUUGAGUCGCGAACGGGUGAGUAACGCGUAGGUAACCUGCCUAUUAGCGGGGGAUAACUAUUGGAAACGAUAGCUAAUACCGCAUAAUAUUAAUUAUUGCAUGAUAAUUGAUUGAAAGAUGCAAGCGCAUCACUAGUAGAUGGACCUGCGUUGUAUUAGCUAGUUGGUAAGGUAAGAGCUUACCAAGGCGACGAUACAUAGCCGACCUGAGAGGGUGAUCGGCCACACUGGGACUGAGACACGGCCCAGACUCCUACGGGAGGCAGCAGUAGGGAAUCUUCGGCAAUGGACGAAGGUCUGACCGAGCAACGCCGCGUGAGUGAAGAAGGUUUUCGGACCGUAAAGCUCUGUUGUAAGUCAAGAACGUGUGUGAGAGUGGAAAGUUCACACAGGAC